UACGUAGGGGGCAAGCGUUGUCCGGAUUUAUUGGGCGUAAAGCGCACGUAGGCGGCUUCUUAAGUCAGGGGUGAAAUCCUGGAGCUCAACUCCAGAACUGCCUUUGAUACUGGCGAUCUCGAGUCCGGGAGAGGUGAGUGGAACUGCGAGUGUAGAGGUGAAAUUCGUAGAUAUUCGCAAGAACACCAGUGGCGAAGGCGGCUCACUGGCCCGGUACUGACGCUGAGGUGCGAAAGCGUGGGGAGCAAACAGGAUUAGAAACCCGUGAGUACGUACC
rnacentral:rRNA from 1 species